rnacentral:lncRNA from 1 species
GUAAAUAUAUUUAAUUGAAUAGUUAAUAUUUAAAAAAUAUAUAAAUAAAUUAGGCUUUCUAAUGAAUUUCAAAAAAAAAUUUAAAACAAAAUUUUUUAAUUAAUUAUUUUUUAUUGACCUUCAAAAUAUACAUAAUAGUAAUAUUUUUAAGAUUUUGAGGGGACAUGUGGUGAAAAACAUAUGGCUUCGUGGCUGCGGAUGGAGAUGGCCAACUUGUUGUGUGUAUUCCUAAGUACACAACAAAUUGCAUUUGAUGGCACGUCGAAUCUCCAGCGCAGCAUAUGCAGUGGCUUCUAAAAUAAUUAUGUCAACUUCAUUCCUUCCUUUUCAAGCCUUUCUAAACUGCUAAAGCAUAACAGCUCACAUUGAUCAGAGAUGGAAACACUAGCCUCAGAGAUGGGGAACCGAAAUCGGCUCGUUAGACUUAAACUGUCUAAUUAAUCAUGUAAGAGAACCAUUCAUUGUACAUACCUCUGCUAAUCAUUCCAUGGUCAGAAAAGCGAUGCACGGAUCAAUUACGUGCCUGAACAAUUAAGGUUGUCUAAUUAAAAUGAGUGGGUUUUGGAUGCAGGCCAACCCCACUAAUUUUGUUUUGAAUUUUCAAAAAAUUGCAUUGAUAUUGAUAUUGGAAAACUGAUAUUUUCAUUAUUUGGCCAUGGGAACUUGAAUCCAAAGUCUUUGUAGUUCAGACUCUUGACGCACGCCUGUGGGGAAAGCAUAUUGUAGUUUUAGACCAUCCCCAAUUUUAGACCUGGCCUUGGGGCUCUAAUUUUCUUUUAGUUUUGCGGCGGAUUGCCUGGAAUUCUCGCUUUCACAUUGCAGAGAAAUAUGUGCUGUGAUUUUCGCCUAAAAACUUGUGAAGCAUGUGGAAACUAAUGCUAGAAAAAUCAAUCUCACCUGAUUUCUCGCAGGAAAUGACAAUGUUUAUUCUCUCCCUUAGACUUCUUUCACUGUUUAAAUGUUUUUU